CUCAACCUGGGUGUCACCCCUAACAACCAGCCUAGCCUUGUGCCUCUCCACAGACCCAUCAGCCCUAUAUUUAAUCUUAUAAACCCAUUUGCAACCAAUGGGCUUCUUGCCAGGGGGAAGGGGAACCAGUGACCAGGUGUGAUUUGCCUCCAAAGCAGCAAAUUCCUUGGCCAUGGCCUCCUGCCAAGAAGGAAUAGAGGCAGCCUGCUUAUAAGAGUUAGGCUUAGCCUCUGUAGAGCUAACUAAACUGUGAAGACAAGUGGAAGAAGAGCUGGGGAUAGAGAUAGAGGGAGGGAGAGUGCAGACAUACUGCUGAAGGUGAGCAGGAUGAAUUUCUUGCCCGGGGGAAGGGGAACCAUUGACCAGGUAUGAUUGGCCUCCAAGGCUGAAAUUCCUUGGCCAUGGCCUCCUGCCAAGCAUGAAUAGAGGCAGCCUGCUUAUAAGAGGUAGGCUCAGCCUCUGUAGAGCUAACUAAACUGUGAAGACAAGUGGAAGAAGAACUGGGGCCAGAGAUAGAUGCAGGGAGAGUGCAGACAUACUGCUGCAGGUGAGCAGGAAGAACAUGUGCCCUACUGGAUCUUCUAGGAAUGGAGGAGGAAGGCACUGUAAGAUUGUGUGAUUGGGAAGAAGAAUGGAAGGAGAGGCAAGAGGAGGCUGGGUGAUAGAUGAAGAAGGAGUAGAUAGAAAGUCAUCAACAGGAGGAACCCAGGCAGAAGAAUGGGAAGGAGGAGGAAAGGGACUAUGGGAAGAGUUCCCUGGAGAAGCAAAAGGAAAGACAUACUCAUGAAAAAUGACAUCCCUGGAGAUCAGAGUAAGUUUGGACUUCAAAUUAUACAGUUUGUAACCUUUUUUACCCAAUGGAUAUCCCAGAAAAACACAUGGAUCA
rnacentral:lncRNA from 1 species